rnacentral:rRNA from 1 species
GACGAACGCUGGCGGCGUGCCUAAUACAUGCAAGUAGAACGCUGAAGGAGGGGCUUGCUUCUCCGGAUGAGUUGCGAACGGGUGAGUAACGCGUAGGUAACCUGCCUGGUAGCGGGGGAUAACUAUUGGAAACGAUAGCUAAUACCGCAUAAGAGUAGAUGUCGCAUGACAUUUGCUUAAAAGGUGCAACUGCACCACUACCAGAUGGACCUGCGUUGUAUUAGCUAGUUGGUGAGGUAACGGCUCACCAAGGCAACGAUACAUAGCCGACCUGAGAGGGGGGUCGGCCACACUGGGACGGAGACACGGCCCAGACUACUACGGGAGGCAGCAGUAGGGCAUCUUGGGCAAUGGAUGGAAGACUGACCGAGCAACGCCGAGUGAGUGAAGAAGGUUUUCGGGUCGUAAAGCUCGGUUGUAAGAGAAGAACGAGUGUGCGAGUGGAAAGUUCACAGUGUGACGGUAACUUACAAGAAAGGGACGGCUAACUACGUG